rnacentral:rRNA from 1 species
AGUGAACGCUGGCGGUAGGCCUAACACAUGCAAGUCGAACGGCAGCACAGUAAGAGCUCGCUCUUACGGGUGGCGAGUGGCGGACGGGGGAGGGAUACAUCGGAAUCUACUUUUUCGUGGGGGAUAACGUAGGGAAACUUACGCUAAUACCGCAUACGACCUACGGGUGAAAGCAGGGGAUCUUCGGACCUUGCGCGAUUGAAUGAGCCGAUGUCGGAUUAGCUAGUUGGCGGGGUAAAGGCCCACCAAGGCGACGAUCCGUAGCUGGUCUGAGAGGAUGAUCAGGCACACUGGAACUGAGACACGGUCCAGACUCCUACGGGAGGCAGCAGUGGGGAAUAUUGGACAAUGGGCGCAAGCCUGAUCCAGCCAUACCGCGUGGGUGAAGAAGGCCUUCGGGUUGUAAAGCCCUUUUGUUGGGAAAGAAAAGCAGCAGGUUAAUACCCCGCUGUUCUGACGGUACCAAAAGAAUAAGCUCCGGCUAACUUCGUG